CCAUGCCGCGUGUGUGAAGAAGGCCUUCGGGUUGUAAAGCACUUUCAGCGAGGAAGAACGCCUGGUGGUUAAUACCCGCCAGGAAAGACAUCACUCGCAGAAGAAGCACCGGCUAACUCCGUGCCAGCAGCCGCGGUAAUACGGAGGGUGCAAGCGUUAAUCGGAAUUACUGGGCGUAAAGCGCGCGUAGGUGGCUUGAUAAGCCGGUUGUGAAAGCCCCGGGCUCAACCUGGGAACGGCAUCCGGAACUGUCAGGCUAGAGUGCAGGAGAGGAAGGUAGAAUUCCCGGUGUAGCGGUGAAAUGCGUAGAGAUCGGGAGGAAUACCAGUGGCGAAGGCGGCCUUCUGGACUGACACUGACACUGAGGUGCGAAAGCGUGGGUAGCAAACAGGAUUAGAUACCCUGGUAGUCCACGCCGUAAACGAUGUCGACCAGCCGUUGGGUGCCUAGAGCACUUUGUGGCGAAGUUAACGCGAUAAGUCGACCGCCUGGGGAGUACGGCCGCAAGGUUAAAACUCAAAUGAAUUGACGGGGGCCCGCACAAGCGGUGGAGCAUGUGGUUUAAUUCGAUGCAACGCGAAGAACCUUACCUACCCUUGACAUCUACAGAAGCCGGAAGAGAUUCUGGUGUGCCUUCGGGAACUGUAAGACAGGUGCUGCAUGGCUGUCGUCAGCUCGUGUUGUGAAAUGUUGGGUUAAGUCCCGUAACGAGCGCAACCCUUGUCCUUAUUUGCC
rnacentral:rRNA from 1 species